ACACUCUUUUAUUAAAACAAAAACUUCUUAGAGAGCUUUCUGCUUCGCCUCUUCGAUUUGAAUUAGCAUUUUCAUUAGAGUGCCAUCGUCUUAGCAGAGGUUACUGACACCGUCUUAGAGAGAUAAUGUAAACACUUUUUAGGGUUUUAAUUUCAAUAAUUUUUAGUGUGUAGGGUUUUAGUUUCAAUUCUAUUGAGGUACUGUAAAUUUUUUUGGAAGAGGUAAUGUAAGCACUCUCCCUCUUUAGGAUUUCAAUUUGAUUGAGGGUCAACUCUUCCCCUUCUUUAGGGUUUCAAUUUUGUACCCUAAACUCUCCGCCUCGUUUCAGUUUUGUUGAGGUAGUGUAUAUUAUUGUUGCCUCGCUACUUCGCGCUCUCUAUGAUUUGCUAAUUCUAAUUUAAAGUUGUGCUUUCUUGUAUUUAAUUUUGCUCAACUGUUUUUCUCAAUAUGCUCUGUGUGGGCUUAAUUGGGGUUAAAAGAGGUCAGAAAGACCAGCUAUUGAGGUAGGCAUAUGUGUCUUAGUUGGAGUUCUUGCACCUGCCAUUGCUGGAGUUUACUGUACACAUAACUCUCCAGGAAAAAAAUGAUUAUACUGAGUUAGACGAGGAAUCACAAGUUCAAAAAAGUGCUGCAGAAAGCUGCAGUGCUAGCCAACCGAGAAGAAUACCAUUGAAAAAGAGAUCUUCUUUUGCAUCAGUUAAAUGGAGAGUUUUCGAAACUAGACCACAAUUGAGCGGAGGCAUUCUUGAUUUUGGGAUGAUCUUUCUUCGACAUAUCUCUCUUUGUUCUGUUGUUUUGUGUUUUUGGUUGGAAUAUGGAGAGACAUGGGUUUGGAAAUAUGUAUGUUCAUAUUGCAACUUUUAUUCUGUAUGGCUCCUUUCUGGUUCAUCAAUUUUGCUGUUGUUAAUACUGACAGAGAUACUGUUAAGAUGGUAUUAGGUGUUACCGAAAUUUUUCUCUCUGUUUGGGUAAUUAUUGGUGGCUUUUGAAGGAUUGGAUGAGAAAAAGAUACAAUUUGCCUCCUUACAAUUCUUGUUGUGCUAAACCUUAUGUUGCUGAUUGUGCACUAUGGCUUUUCUGUUGUUGCUGCUCUCGUGCUUAGGAAGUAAGGACUGGAAAUUCCUAUGACAUCGUGGAGGAUACAUUUCCUAGAAAACCAGAUGAAAGUAUAUCACCAUUGCCUCGUGAGGAUGGGCGAUAUAAGUAUACUUCAGGUCCUCCACUUCCAACAAUAAAAAGUAGUACACCAAGCCCCAACAAAUUUGCUGAUGAAGUUCAUAGUCCCGAUAGACAACAACCCUUCGUGGAAGACGAGUCUCAUACAAGAAAUCAAAAUGUGAUAAUGAUACCACUUACUCCGUCAGUUAUACAAAGAGAAAAUGACAACCUGAAUCAUAAAUUUGUGGCAGGAGAUGUGAAGAAAGGCAGAGUUUACGGGCUUGGAGCACAACCUUCCUCAUGUCAUCCGUCACCGUUGUUGUCUGGUGCUUCUACUUCUCAAACUUUAGAAGAAAUGGAAGCAAUGCAAAUAGAGAUUUCAAAAUUAAUAGAACGACUUCAAACAUCUGAAGCUAACUAUGCUAAAGUGCAGAAGUUCAUGGAGAAACAUAUGGUUGAAUUUGAUGAAGGCGAAAAAGAGACUGACUCUGACGAAAUGUAGAUUAUGUUCUUGUUGUUUAGACAUUUUCUAUGACAUUUAGUCUUGUUUUAAACUAUUUACAAGUGGUGUACCAAAAUAAACAACAUUUUUCUAUAUAUUAAAAAUUUGGAUUUCUUAUA